AUUGAACGCUGGCGGCAUGCCUUACACAUGCAAGUCGAACGGCAGCACGGGAGCAAUCCUGGUGGCGAGUGGCGAACGGGUGAGUAAUACAUCGGAACGUGCCCAGUAGUGGGGGAUAGCCCGGCGAAAGCCGGAUUAAUACCGCAUGAGACCUGAGGGUGAAAGCGGGGGAUCGCAAGACCUCGCGCUAUUGGAGCGACGGAUGUCAGAUUAGCUAGUUGGUAGAGUAAAGGCCUACCAAGGCAACGAUCUGUAGUUGGUCGGAGAGGACGACCAGCCACACUGGGACUGAGACACGGCCCAGACUCCUACGGGAGGCAGCAGUGGGGAAUUUUGGACAAUGGGCGCAAGCCUGAUCCAGCAAUGCCGCGUGCAGGAAGAAGGCCUUCGGGUUGUAAACUGCUUUUGUCAGGGAAGAAAUCUUCUGGGCUAAUACCCUGGGAGGAUGACGGUACCUGAAGAAUAAGCACCGGCUAACUACGUGCCAGCCGCCGCAGUAA
rnacentral:rRNA from 1 species